rnacentral:rRNA from 1 species
AUUGAACGCUGGCGGCAGGCCUAACACAUGCAAGUCGAGCGAGCGGCGGACGGGUGAGUAAUGUAUGGGGACUGCCCGAUAGAGGGGGAUAACUACUGGAAACGGUGGCUAAUACCGCAUACUAUCGGAUAACCCAUAUGGGAUUAGCUAGUAGGUGGGGUAAAGGCUCACCUAGGCGACGAUCUCUAGCUGGUCUGAGAGGAUGAUCAGCCAAACGGGGACUGGGACACGGCCCAGACUCCUACGGAGGCAGCAGUGGGGAAUCUUGCGCAAGGGGGGCAACCCGGACGCAGCCAUGCCGCGUGAAUGAAGAAGGCCGUCGGGUUGUAAAGGUCUUUCGGUAGGGAGGCGUUAACUACAGAAGAAGCACCGGCUAACUCCGUGCCAGCCGCCGCGGUAAUUC